ACGCUCGACACCUACGGGAGGGCAGCAGUGGGGAAUAUUGCACAAUGGGGGAAACCCUGAUGCAGCGACGCCGCGUGGAGGAAGAAGGUCUUCGGAUUGUAAACUCCUGUUGUUGGGGAAAAAGAGGAUGGUACCCAACAAGGAAGUGACGGCUAACUACGUGCCNNNCGCGAGUAUNGNGGCGNGNGAGAG
rnacentral:rRNA from 1 species